GUUAUAUGGUCAAGUGAAGAAGCGCAUACGGUGGAUGCCUUGGCAGUCAGAGGCGAUGAAAGACGUGGUAGCCUGCGAUAAGCUUUGGGGAGUCGGCAAACAGACUGUGAUCCAGAGAUCUCUGAAUGGGGGAACCCACUCAGCAUAAGCUGAGUAUCUUGUACUGAAUACAUAGGUGCAAGAGGCGAACCAGGGGAACUGAAACAUCUAAGUACCCUGAGGAAAAGAAAUCAACCGAGAUUCCCUUAGUAGUGGCGAGCGAACGGGGACCAGCCCUUAAGUUGAUUUGAGAUUAGUGGAACGCUCUGGAAAGUGCGGCCAUAGUGGGUGAUAGCCCCGUACACGAAAAUCUCUUAUCAAUGAAAUCGAGUAGGACGGAGCACGAGAAACUUUGUCUGAAUAUGGGGGGACCAUCCUCCAAGGCUAAAUACUACUGACUGACCGAUAGUGAACCAGUACCGUGAGGGAAAGGCGAA
rnacentral:rRNA from 1 species